UAACAAACCGCCUACAAUUCAGUGGAGUAAACAAUAGCCGACGAUUGUUUCCCACUUGUCGGUGGGUUGCCCUGACCCGGGCUGUGCUCGCAUCUGCAGGUUGGUUUGGGUCGGCUCCACCGGCCCUUCAUCCUCCAAGUGCCGAUGCGCUCUCCAGGGGCGCCCAUUUUACUGCAACGGCAGAGGGUGAGAGGACGAGCCAUCCUUGCAUGCGGGCUCUGAGCCUCUGCGUGUAUUUGCCUGUUAGCAUCCCGCCGGUCAAAGCAGAUCACCCGGCCCAACCCGAGCCUUCCCAAGGGAGGAGACGGGGGGUACAGUCUGUCCACCCCACGCCAGAGCCCGUCACGUGACCAAGCUAAGUAUCAACAGGAUGGGGAGGUCAGGGUGGGGGCAGCGGGGCGGUGGGGGAGACUGAAUUUCUCUGAACGAUCAUCUAAUCUACCGCCGUAGCCCUAAUAUCUCUUACCUGGGCUUCUUAGGAAAACCGGCCUCACGUUGCUGUGAGAACUCAGCACAGCACUGAAGACGCUUGUCCCGCGUGGACAUAAAAUCACCACAUGGGCCAGCAGUUCCAUUCCUAAGCACGUCUUUGCCCUGGAGAACUGAGGCCCGUGCCCAUGCAGAGACACGUCGAGGGAUGCUCCGGUCGGCAUUACUCAUCAGCGCCAAAGCUAGAAACCAUCCAAAUAAAUAGCUAAUUUUUCGACUUGAAUAUUUCAAAGAGGUAAUAAUAAAGAACCACAGUCACGUGAGAGUCUUUGAAAUUCUAAGAGACUAUAUGUUGGGGGAUUCUUCGCCUGGAAGCACUGCUGCAAACAAAUAGACUUUCCCCUGGCGAACGUAUACCAACACAUGUUUCCGCCAGCCACAAAUUUUCAAGAGCUGGAAUCGGAAAGAAAAAAUUAAAGACCUAGUAGGAGGAUACUAAAUGACCAGCGUUUGUCAUCCAUUUUCCGAAUCUCUCCGAACCCCUGCUUCUCCACGAUGACGGGUCAUGUAGGGCAAUAGGAGGAAGUUCACAGCGUUCUGAAUAUACAGCAACCCCCCCCCCAUCAAGUGCUGAUUUGAACUCCAGAGUUCGUGUACUUAGAUCUUCACAUGCUCAUACCUUGAUGACAGUAGCCACUGAAUUCAAAUGGUGGGUCAGAGAUUGGAAAUACAGGCUGACGGGAAAUAUGAACCUUGCCCUCCUGUAGACGAUAGCCUAUGAACCAUACGCAUGCAAUUCCGGCCCCAACGCUCUUGUCCAUACUGUUCAUUCUUCAACUGUGGGAUCCCCGGGCGCUCUUCCAAAGCCACCUUUGCCCAACAGCCUUCCUUCUCAUAACAAAGUCUCGUUACUCUGAACUGUCACGUCUAAUCGCGCUGAGAGUUCGAUACUCAAGGAGCUAGUAAGGGCAACGGUGAUGGGAACGGCCGCCGCCAACCCAGGCAUCACGCCCCCGGGGUGCAGAUGGGCAGCAGGGCCCUGCCGCAUGAGGAGCCUCAGCGAACGUCUCUCACCCGAUCGUCACAAAGCCCCAGGGGUAGGCUCUGUUAUCAGGCCCACGUUCCGGCCGAAGAGACUGAGACUCGACGUUACUAAGCGACGUCUGCAAGGUGGUUCACCUACGAAGUAAGAGCUGGACUUGGCCGCAGGUGGGCUGACCCUGGAAGCUGGCCUCCUGACCUCGAGGAGCUGCAAAGGCCGCGCUGCAGACACGACGGAGGUGAAGGGGCCGUCUCCAGCCUCUGGGCACAGGCGGCCUGAACGAGGCACGCUCCCCGGGAGACCUUCCAUGGCCUCGGAGCACAGGGACCUGGUACAGGUUGCACCGCGUCAGGGCUCAGGGUGGGCAGCGGGGCUCAAAGUCCAGCGACGCUGGGGGCUGCAGACGUCGUAGGCCAGCAAGGAGACAGUACCUCAGACGGUCGGUGGAUGAGAAUGAAGCAGGUGACAUGCCACAGACGUGAGGAUGGCGUGUCCCGCACGUUCUAGGGAACGGAGGAGGCUGGGCAAGCGGCUCGAGGAGGUUCCAGGCAGCCUCCCCCAAGGGGGUGAUAGCUGAACUGCCCACUCCCCAGGGAAUCGUUUCCUGGUCAAGUGAUUUCUAACAUGUGGCCCAACACCUGUGAGGCAAGAGACAUGGUAGACGUGAAAGGUCACUUGUAGCUUGGCUUGGGUACAAGCCCAUGGUCCAGGACACAACUGAAUAAAUGCUAGGUAGCCUGAGGUUUGAAAUUUGUUAAAAGAUGUUUAAUAUGUUUUCCCCCAAAGCUUAUUUCUGGAAAGUAAGUCAACCAAGUGUUGGUGAACAAAUAAGGAGAAAAACCCCUGAAAGUAGAAGAAAUGGGGUACUCCUUACACGGAUUGGAAAUCAAAUUUUGAGAUGAUAGUGAUUUGAAGAUGAAAGUCGCAAAAGAAUUGUUUGUUUGAUUUUUGAAAAUAGACACAUUUAAUUUUGAAUUAUUUUCCCUCCAGUGUACAUUUCCUCGAUUUCCAAUAUUAUUCUAUAUUAUUGAAAUGGCAAUGAUUUCAGAAUAUUUAACAUAAUGUGCAGAUUGUAGUCUCUUCAUUAAAAAUAUAGUAUAAAAUUCA